AUUUCUUCAGUUGAACUGAAGAGUGUUGCAUAAUUUCUAAUUAAUAUCAGAUGCCAUCUUGAGGUUGGCUGCCCCGAGUUGCAUUUUUAAAGACCGCUUUCCCCAUUAAAGGGAGCGCUUUUCUACACCAUUAUCAACAUAGAUGGAUACAGGUAGCUGUGUCAUUUGCUUGUGAUGUUGGCCUAGAUGGGAAUGACUAAUAAAUCCUAACCCUAGAAUGCAAAUCUUACCCAAGAAAACUCGGAAGAUAUAGUUUACGGCCUCUAGAAGCCUAGCCGUGCACAAGUGGAGAGCAUCCAGCUUUGCCGGAAUCAGAGAGGAUCCCACGGUGAGCCCAGGAUGAAGACAAGACCGAGAGGUGGCAGGGCUCCAGGCUUGGGUGAUGGCCCUCGGGUGAGCAGGAUGCAGCCGUGACUCAUUCUCUUCAUGCAGGACCCGUCGGCUCUGAAAGCCUGCAAACCCCAAAGGAGCUGAGGGAGAAAGGCCCCAAAGCUGGCCAGAGUGAGCAACCUGCAGGAGCACCUGGCGGCCACCGCCGGCGUCUUCGUUUGCAGCUUGCCAACUGCGUCUGCUGGCCUGGACACGCUUCUUGCUUUCAAAUGCGCAUCUCUCCCCCUUGCAACCCAAACACAAUGUGUGCAGGGGAAGCACAAGGCUGCUAAGGGAACCUGGGAGUCAGCAACAGGUAGGACCGGCUCAGCGCCUUAUCUCUGUGGGUGUCCGGCUGUCCAGCCGUCCCCACAAGCUCUGCUGGAGGAAACAGCUGGUGGCUUGCAGUAUUUGGAGUUGUUCUUGUGUUCCAAGGUGGUUGAUCCAUCACUGAAGACUGAAAGAAUCCCUGGCAGUGGUAAAAUAGAAAAGGAUGUCUUAGAGAGAUGUCUGAAAGGAAGGAAGAAAAUGAGUUCCCCGGGGGUAAAAGAACAGAUUUAGCCUCGAGGAUAGGAGCCCAGAGAAUAGGUGAAUGAAGGCAGAUCCACCUUUCUCUGCAAUUAGCACUGGUGGCCAGGAAAACAGGGGUGUGUGGGGCACACAGAGCCUUUCACAUUCACUGUUGUCCCCAUUAAAUGUGGGGUCUGCAGGAGCCGUCUGUUCAGGUAAGGGCAGUGGAGAGAACAGGAUGCCCCAAGCAACCCAUAAAUAGCAGGGUGAAGACAGAGUGUUUAUUACUUAGCCUCAUGAAGCCCAUGUAAGGGCUCUCCCAGGGUGUGAGACAGCAGGAGCAUGUGUGCACUGGCCCGCAUGCGGCCCGGGAGUGAGAGUCCCAGACCCGGGGUUCGCGCUUGGCUUGAUUCUAUGAAGGCGUCUAUUUGAUGGAACGUACUGGAACAGUUCAUAGCCAGCCCAGCAAACCUUAUGUGGAGACAGAGCUUUCUUUUUCUCUUUUCUUUUCCUGUUUGCAGUGAGAAUGAGGCCUUUCUCUUCUCGGCCCUUUGCUCUCCCCAAAGUUGUCUCACGAGGUUAUUGCCAGCUGACAGGCUUCCUUUCAGUGCAAGG